rnacentral:rRNA from 1 species
UGGCAGACGGGUGAGUAACACGUGGGAACGUGCCCUAAGGUUCGGAACAACUCCGGGAAACUGGAGCUAAUACCGAAUGUGACCGAGAGGUGAAAGAUUCAUCGCCUUGGGAUCGGCCCGCGUCUGAUUAGGUAGUUGGUGGGGUAAUGGCCUACCAAGCCUGCGAUCAGUAGCUGGUCUGAGAGGAUGAUCAGCCACACUGGGACUGAGACACGGCCCAG